GACGAACGCUGGCGGCGUGCCUAAUACAUGCAAGUAGAACGCUGAAGGAGGAGCUUGCUUCUCUGGAUGAGUUGCGAACGGGUGAGUAACGCGUAGGUAACCUGCCUGGUAGCGGGGGAUAACUAUUGGAAACGAUAGCUAAUACCGCAUAAUAGCAGUUGUUGCAUGACAACUGUUUGAAAGGUGCAAUUGCACCACUACCAGAUGGACCUGCGUUGUAUUAGCUAGUUGGUGGGGUAACGGCUCACCAAGGCGACGAUACAUAGCCGACCUGAGAGGGGGAUCCGCCACACUGGGACUGAGACACGGCCCAGACUCCUACGGGAGGCAGCAGUAGGGAAUCUUCGGCAAUGGACGGAAGUCUGACCGAGCAACGCCGCGUGAGUGAAGAAGGUUUUCGGAUCGUAAAGCUCUGUUGUAAGAGAAGAACGAGUGUGAGAGUGGAAAGUUCACACUGUGACGGUAUCUUACCAGAAAGGGACGGCUAACUACGUG
rnacentral:rRNA from 1 species